rnacentral:rRNA from 1 species
AGGAUAAACGCUGGCGGCGUGCCUAACACAUGCAAGUCGAACGCGCUUGCUAUCCGCGAGGAGGGUGAGCGAGUGGCGGACGGGUGAGGAACACGUGGGUGACCUACCUUUCAGUGAGGGAUACCGGCGAGAAAUUGCCGACAAGACCGCAUACGCUUCUCUUUUCAAGGGGAGAAGGAAAGCUUUUCGCAAGAGAGGCGCUGGGAGAUGGGCCUGCGGCCGAUUAGCUAGCUGGUGGGGUAAUGGCCUACCAGGGCGACGAUCGGUAGCUGGUCUGAGAGGACGAUCAGCCACACUGGGAUUGAGAACGGCCCAGACUCCUACGGGGGGCAGCAGUGAGGAAUUUUCGGCAAUGGGGGCAACCCUGACCGAGCAACGCCGCGUGCAGGACGACGGCCUUCGGGUUGUAAACUGCUUUUCUCUGGGACGAGCAAGGACGGUACCAGAGGAAGAAGCCCGGCUAACUACGUGCCAGCAGCCGCGGU